AGUGAACGCUGGCGGUAGGCCUAACACAUGCAAGUCGAACGGCAGCACAGUAAGAGCUUGCUCUUACGGGUGGCGAGUGGCGGACGGGUGAGGAAUACAUCGGAAUCUACUUUUUCGUGGGGGAUAACGUAGGGAAACUUACGCUAAUACCGCGUACGACCUACGGGUGAAAGCAGGGGAUCUUCGGACCUUGCGCGAUUGAAUGAGCCGAUGUCGGAUUAGCUAGUUGGCGGGGUAAAGGCCCACCAAGGCGACGAUCCGUAGCUGGUCUGAGAGGAUGAGCAGCCAAAAGGGAACUGAGACACGGGCCAGACUACUACGGGAGGCAGCAGUGGGGAAUAUUGGACAAUGGGCGCAAGCCUGAUACCGCCAUACCGCGUGGGGGAAGAAGGCCUUGGGGUUGUAAAGCCCUUUUGGGGGGAAAAAAAAGCAGCAGGUUAAUACCCCGCUGUUCUGACGGUACCAAAAGAAUAAGCACCGGCUAACUUCGU
rnacentral:rRNA from 1 species